rnacentral:tRNA from 1 species
CAAAGUAUAGCUUAAUUUAAAGCACUUCGCUUACACCGAGCACAUAUUUGUGAGAACCAAAUUACUCUGA